rnacentral:tRNA from 1 species
GGUCCGGUAGUUCAGUUGGUUAGAAUGCCUGCCUGUCACGCAGGAGGUCGCGGGUUCGAUUCCCGUCCGGACCGCCA